rnacentral:rRNA from 1 species
AUGCACGCUGGCGGCGUGCCUAAUACAUGCAAGUCGAGCGAACGGACGAGAAGCUUGCUUCUCUGAUGUUAGCGGCGGACGGGUGAGUAGCACGUGGAUAACCUACCUAUAAGACUGGGAUAACUUCGGGAAACCGGAGCUAAUACCGGAUGAUAUUUUGAACCGCAUGGUUCAAAAGUGAAAGACGGUCUUGCUGUCACUUAUAGAUGGAUCCGCGCUGCAUUAGCUAGUUGGUAAGGUAACGGCUUACCAAGGCAACGAUGCAUAGCCGACCUGAGAGGGUGAUCGGCCACACUGGAACUGAGACACGGUCCAGACUCCUACGGGAGGCAGCAGUAGGGAAUCUUCCGCAAUGGGCGAAAGCCUGACGGAGCAACGCCGCGUGAGUGAUGAAGGUCUUCGGAUCGUAAAACUCUGUUAUUAGGGAAGAACAUAUGUGUAAGUAACUGUGCACAUCUUGACGGUACCUAAUCAGAAAGCCACGGCUAACUACGUG